rnacentral:lncRNA from 1 species
UAGGAAUGUUCAUAGCAGUGACGUGGCUGGGGCCUGCACUGAUCAUCCCGAUCUGGUCGUGGGUUUGGAAGUACAUGUUGGAUGGGCGCCCUUGACUGCUCCGGUCAUAGACAGAUCCUGGAAUAAUAGCCUCACGUGCAUCAUACAUGGCAGUGGUCAUGAAGCGGGCACCUGGGUUGAUAGUGUUGACAAGUUUUCGGGGCUUGCUGAAUUGCAUGAGGCUCUCCCGGAGGUUAUUCAGUGGUCCCUCCACCAGAACCUUCUGCUCCUUGUAGUAAUUCAGCAGGUGAUUCCAAAGUGGUUGUUUAGACAGAGCUUUUGGGUUCCCAACAAUAAUCACCCCAUACCUUGCUCUUGUAAGAGCCACAUUAAGACGCCUGGGGUCAUUCAGAAAUCCUAUCCCUUGGUGUUCGUUGGCCCUCACACAAGACAGGAUAAUAAAGUCCUUCUCUCGUCCUUGGAAGGCAUCCACGCUUGCAAUUUCUACUUCCUGGUAAAGUUUUGUAUGCAAGGAACCACUGAACUGCAUGUACUGCACCAGAUAGGAUCGCUGGCCUUCAUAAGGAGUAAUAAUGCCAAUCUGAUCAGGUUUGGCACCAGCUUUCAAUAGCUUUGUAGUUAUCUUCUCCACAUUGGCAGCUUCCGUUCUGUUCAAGUAAGAGGUGCCUGAGCUGGCGAUUUCUUCCUGUCCUUGUGUAACAUAGAAAAACAUUGGCUUAUCUGGCUGUGGCCACUGGAAAUCAAACCCUUUCUUCACACGGUCAGCUGCAGUGACACCAUUCUGGAGCGAACCCUCAUAGAAGAUGUUGGAUGGGAAAGCACUCAGAGCAGGGUGCAUACGGUACUGCACCUGCAGGCGGAUGGGGCGAAUCCCCA